rnacentral:rRNA from 1 species
CCUACGGGAGGCAGCAGUGAGGAAUAUUGGUCAAUGGGCGUAAGCCUGAACCAGCCAAGUCGCGUGAGGGAUGAAGGUUCUAUGGAUCGUAAACCUCUUUUAUAAGGGAAUAAAGUGCGGGACGUGUCCCGUUUUGUAUGUACCUUAUGAAUAAGGAUCGGCUAACUCCGUUCCAGCAGCCGCGGUAAUACGGAGGAUCCGAGCGUUAUCCGGAUUUAUUGGGUUUAAAGGGUGCGUAGGCUGCCUUUUAAGUCAGCUGUGAAAUUCUGUGGCUCAACCAUAGAAUUGCCGUUGAAACUGGGGGGCUUGAGUAUGUUUGAGGCAGGCGGAAUGCGUGGUGUAGCGGUGAAAUGCUUAGAUAUCACGCCGAACCCCGAUUGCGAAGGCAGCCUGCCAAGCCAUGACUGACGCUGAUGCACGAAAGCGUGGGGAUCAAACAGGAUUAGAUACCCUUGUAGUC